rnacentral:rRNA from 1 species
GUGUCAGCAGCCGCGGUAAUACGUAGGAUCCGAGCGUUGUCCGGAAUUACUGGGUGUAAAGGGCGUGUAGGUGGGUCCUUCAGUCGGUGGUGAAAUCCUGCAGCUUAACUGCAGAACUGCUUCCGAUACUGAGGAUCUUGAGUGCGGCAGAGGGAGAUGGAAUUCAUGGUGUAGCGGUGAAAUGUGUAGAUAUCAUGAAGAACACCGGUAGCGAAGGCGGUCUCCUGGUCCGUUACUGACACUGAGGCGCGAAAGCGUGGGGAGCAAACAGGAUUAGAAACCCUCGUAGUCC